rnacentral:rRNA from 1 species
AUGAAGGACGUAGCAAUCUGCGAUAAGCCUCGGGGAGUGGAUAAGCACACUUUGAUCCGAGGGUCUCCGAAUGGGGAAACCCCGCUGGGCGGCGUGCCGACCCGGUGACUCCCGCCUGAAUAUAUAGGGCGGGUAGAGGGAACGUGGGGAAGUGAAACAUCUCAGUACCCACAGGAAGAGAAAGCAACCGCGAUUCCGUUAGUAGUGGCGAGCGAAACCGGAACAGGCUAAACCGAGUACGUGUGAUAUCCGGCAGGAGUUGCGUAUUCGGUGUUGUGGGACUUUUCAGGCUGCUCUGCCGAGCAGCCGGCGUUACAAGAAGGUAUAGACGAACUGGAUUGAAAGCCAGGUCAUAGAGGGUGCCAACCCCGUAGUCGAAAUGCCUCCCUUGACGCGAAGAGUAUCCCAAGUAGCACGGGGCCCGAGAAAUCCCGUGUGAAUCUGUCAGGACCACCUGAUAAGCCUAAAUACUCCCAGAUGACCGAUAGCGGACAAGUACCGUGAGGGAAAGGUGAAAAGUACCCCGGGAGGGGAGUGAAAUAGUACCUGAAACCGUUUGCUUACAAACCGUUGGAGCAGCCCUAGCAGCUGUGACAGCGUGCCUUUUGAAGAAUGAGCCUGCGAGUUAGCGAUACGUGGCGAGGUUAACCCGUGAGGGGUAGCCGUAGCGAAAGCGAGUCUGAAUAGGGCGAUUCAGUCGCGUGUCCUAGACCCGAAGCGAAGUGAUCUAUCCAUGGCCAGGUUGAAGCGACGGUAAGACGUCGUGGAGGACCGAACCCACUUAGGUUGAAAACUGAGGGGAUGAGCUGUGGAUAGGGGUGAAAGGCCAAUCAAACUUCGUGAUAGCUGGUUCUCUCCGAAAUGCAUUUAGGUGCAGCGUUGCGUGUUUCUUGCCGGAGGUAGAGCUACUGGAUGGCCGAUGGGCCCUACAAGGUUACUGACGUCAGCCAAACUCCGAAUGCCGGUAAGUGAGAGCGCAGCAGUGAGACUGUGGGGGAUAAGCUUCAUAGUCGAGAGGGAAACAACCCAGACCACCAACUAAGGUCCCAAAGCGCGUGCUAAGUGGGAAAGGAUGUGGAGUUGCCUUGACAACCAGGAGGUUGGCUUAGAAGCAGCCACCCUUGAAAGAGUGCGUAAUAGCUCACUGGUCAAGUGAUUCCGCGCCGACAAUGUAACGGGGCUCAAGCACGCCACCGAAGUUGUGGCAUUGACAUUAUUGGUAGGCCUUCGUGGUCCAGCCGUGUUGAUGGGUAGGAGAGCGUCGUGUGGCCAGCGAAGCGGCGGUGUGAACCAGCCGUGGAGGCUACACGAGUGAGAAUGCAGGCAUGAGUAGCGAAAGACAUGUGAGAAACAUGUCCUCCGAAAGACCAAGGGUUCCAGGGUCAAGCUAAUCUUCCCUGGGUAAGUCGGGACCUAAGGCGAGGCCGACAGGCGUAGUCGAUGGACAACGGGUUGAUAUUCCCGUACCGGCGAAGAACCGCCCAAGCUAACCCAGUAGUGCUAAGUGUCUGAAUCCCACUGACGGAUCCCUUCGGGGUGAAGCGUUGGGCCUAGCGCACGACCCCAUUCUGGUGCGGUUAGCGUAUUAACAGGUGUGACGCAGGAAGGUAGCCCAACCCGGGCGAUGGUUGUCCCGGGGCAAGUGCGUAGGCCGAGAGAUAGGCAAAUCCGUCUCUCACAUAGGCUGAGACACGAUGCGGAUAAAAAGUGGGUGAUCCUAUGCUGCCAAGAAAAGCAUCGACGCGAGGUUCUAGCCGCCCGUACCCCAAACCGACUCAGGUGGUCAGGUAGAGAAUACCAAGGAGAUCGAGAGAAUCGUGGUUAAGGAACUCGGCAAAAUGCCCCCGUAACUUCGGGAGAAGGGGGGCCUUCGGCGUAUUAGGACUUGCUCCGAAAGCGUUUGGAGGCCGCAGAGACUAGUGGGUAGCGACUGUUUAUUAAAAACACAGGUCCGUGCCAAGCCGCAAGACGAUGUAUACGGACUGACGCCUGCCCGGUGCUGGAAGGUUAAGAGGACCGGUUAGCCGCAAGGCGAAGCUGAGAAUUUAAGCCCCAGUAAACGGCGGUGGUAACUAUAACCAUCCUAAGGUAGCGAAAUUCCUUGUCGGGUAAGUUCCGACCUGCACGAAUGGCGUAACGACUUCCCAACUGUCUCAACCACGAACUCGGCGAAAUUGCACUACGAGUAAAGAUGCUCGUUACGCGCAGCAGGACGGAAAGACCCCGUGACCUUUACUACAGCUUGGUAUUGGUGUUCGGUGUGGCUUGUGUAGGAUAGGUGGGAGACUUUGAAGCGGUGACGCCAGUUACCGUGGAGUCAUUGUUGAAAUACCACUCUGGUCACUCUGGAUAUCUAACUUCGAACCGUAAUCCGGUUCAGGGACAGUGCCUGGUGGGUAGUUUAACUGGGGCGGUUGCCUCCCAAAAAGUAACGGAGGCGCCCAAAGGUUCCCUCAACCUGGUUGGCAAUCAGGUGUCGAGUGUAAGUGCACAAGGGAGCUUGACUGUGAGACUGACAGGUCGAGCAGGGACGAAAGUCGGGACUAGUGAUCCGGCAGUGGCUUGUGGAAGCGCUGUCGCUCAACGGAUAAAAGGUACCUCGGGGAUAACAGGCUGAUCUUGCCCAAGAGUCCAUAUCGACGGCAUGGUUUGGCACCUCGAUGUCGGCUCGUCGCAUCCUGGGGCUGGAGUAGGUCCCAAGGGUUGGGCUGUUCGCCCAUUAAAGCGGUACGCGAGCUGGGUUUAGAACGUCGUGAGACAGUUCGGUCCCUAUCCGCUGCGCGCGUAGGAAAUUUGAGAGGAUCUGACCCUAGUACGAGAGGACCGGGUUGGACGAACCUCUGGUGUGCCAGUUGUUCUGCCAAGAGCACCGCUGGUUAGCUACGUUCGGGAUGGAUAACCGCUGAAAGCAUCUAAG